AAAAUACAUCGGAAUAGUUGGUGAUCAUACAUGGUAGAUUUGGUAGAUAACACGGUGAUGAAUGAGGAAGUAACUGAAAGAAACUCAUAUUUCCAAUCACAUGUUGUAUUUUGCAGUUUUUUUUUGGCACAAAGGGAUGUGCUUCAGUGGAAAGGCAGUAACUAAUUGAAAAGCAUGAAGGGGGAAAUGAUGUUGACACAACUUGAGACGGAAUGCAUAGUCACUCCUUCAAAAUAUUCUCUCUUAAGGAAGUACCCAAUUUGUGGUUGACUUUGGGAUCGCGAUAUUUCUGAGGAUUUCUUAGAAAAGGAAGGUUGUAAAAAAUGCUUCAACUGUACAUCCUUCAAUUCUGAUGAAGAAGAGGAUAAUUCUGACAUUCCAAUGCGUGGGAGGAGGACAAGCUGGGGCCGUGGGCAUGUAGGACCACCCACCGAAAUAAUUGCUCCACAACCUGCACAGCAACCUCCACUGCAGCCUCUACCACAACCUCCACUGCAACCAGCACCUGCAUCGAUUCCUCCACAGGAGCUAUGAUGUCUGGGAGAAAUAACAAUCAGUUCCGAAGAGGAGCCGCCAUCAGCAGACACAUUGAGAACUGAUGCAGUAGAUUAUACGGGAUGCAGCUCUUGCGACAAGCCUGAUAACUAGAUGCUUGAAUCAGGCAGCCUAGAACACAUGUCUUGAAAGAAAAUGCCAACUAUUUUCGUUCCUCGAUGAUUACUUUUAGACGAAAUUGACGCUGCUCAAAAUGGUUUUACUUCUCUCUUACUGCCUUUUUAAACAAUAAAUAUUUUUUUUAAAUUUAAUGGUCAUUUUGUUUACUUGCUAAUUAUAAUAUUCAUUUACUAGUGUUUAAAUACGUUAGUGAGUUGCUUGUGUAACACUGAUUUUUGUUCCUUUUUUUGGAAACUUGAAUGAAUUUCAUGCGCUCAUGUAAACAAGCUCGUUCUUAGACUAACAGUGCAAAUAUGGCAAAUUUCACCUAAGCCUUUCUUUAGCACGUUCAACCCAUAUUUUGUACUUGUAUCCCCUUGAAAUAUCAUAACGUUAGUGAGUCAACAGAGUAAUGCUGAUUUUUAUUCCUAUUUUCGGAAACUUGAAUAAAUUUCAUGCGCUCAUGUAAACAAGCUCGUUCUCAGACUAACAGUGCAAAUAUGGUAAAUUUCACCUGAGCCUUUCUUUAGCAUGUUCAACCCAUAUUUUGUACUUGUAUCCCCUUGAAAUAUCAUUACGUUAGCAAGUCAACAGGGAAUUACUGAUUUUUUGUUUUGUUUUCAAGAACUUAAAUAAAUUUUCUUUUUUCUACUACCUUA